GCACGACGCGUCGCGUCGCGCAGGCAGCUUCACUCUUGCUCUCUCCAGCCCCCGCCCCCUGCACUUGCGCCCCGCCAGCGCCGCUUCGCCAGCCGCUUGGCGCACCUAGCCCUAAAGGUAGCAGACUUUGGGGUGCUCACCCUGAGGAAUUUUUGUUGUUUGCUGUCUUCUGCCUGAGUGCAGGUGCUUUCUGGCUAUGAUACUUCUGAGCCAGGUCUCUGUGACUCACGUGGUCAUCUUUCAUGAAGGAACACAGAAUCCUACCCAGAUGCCCAAUAUCCAGGGUAGCUGACUGAGGCCUGCCCUUCUCACAGCCUUCAGAGUGAUUGGCACCGUGUGGGCCAAGAACAGAACCUCUGCUUCAUGGCCAGGUUGCUUCCAGAGAGCUCAACGGGACAGUCACUGAUGAGUAACAAUGAACCAAACCCUCCGCUCUCCUUGACAGCAUUUUCCAGAGUGUCACCCUAGGCCCAGGACUGGGAGAGGGCUCUGUCGUCAGAAGGCAGGACUGGAGCUGACCAGCCAAUCAAAGUUGCACCCUUGGGAGAUGGAAUCACCCCUGUGGGUCUCUGGAUCCCCAAGGAUGAGCAUGCAGCAUAUGGAAGAAAAACCAUCUUAUUUGAGAAGUUCAGCUGAGACCUGGCAUGCUUAUGGAGGCCAAGUAGAGGCAUCACCCUUUGGAGUGGAGUAGGGGAAGCCUGUCAGCCUGAUGUUUGCACCAAAUAAAGGCCCACAGCA